rnacentral:rRNA from 1 species
AGAACGAACGCUGGCGGCAUGCCUAACACAUGCAAGUCGAACGAGACCUUCGGGUCUAGUGGCGCACGGGUGCGUAACGCGUGGGAAUCUGCCCUUGGGUUCGGGAUAACAGUUGGAAACGACUGCUAAUACCGGAUAAUGACUUCGGUCCAAGGAUUUAUCGCCCAGGGAUGAGCCCGCGUAGGAUUAGCUAGUUGGUGAGGUAAAGGCUCACCAAGGCGACGAUCCUUAGCUGGUCUGAGAGGAUGAUCAGCCACACUGGGACUGAGACACGGCCCAGACUCCUACGGGAGGCAGCAGUGGGGAAUAUUGGACAAGUGGCGAAAGCCUGAUCCAGCAAUGCCGCGUGAGUGAUGAAGGCCUUAGGUUGUAAAGCUCUUUACCCGGGAUGAUAAUGACAGUACCGGAGAAUAGACCCGACUAACUCCGU